AACUUUCAAGAAGAUAGUACACAAAAUUGGGAUAUAUAGGUUCAAGGAUGUUCUCAUUAAAGGAGUUCGUACAUGUAAUACUCUUUUUCCUUUACGAGGUUUUGUCCCACAGGAUUUUUCUUGUAAGGUUUUUAACGACACAGCCUAUAUGCGUAUUAUUAAAAAUGUGUACUCUUUUUGAUUCACUAGAUUUUUUUCUCAAUUUUUUCUAGUAAGGUUUUAAUGUAACACAUUAUCUAUCAAUUAGACAUUCA
rnacentral:lncRNA from 1 species